rnacentral:rRNA from 1 species
AAUGAACGCUGGCGGCGUGGAUAAGACAUGCAAGUCGAACGAGGAACAGAUUAGCUUGCUAAGAUGUUCCUAGUGGCGGACGGGUUAGUAACACGUGAGUAACUUGCCUCAGAGUGGGGGAUAGUCCCGGGAAACUGGGUUUAAUACCGCAUAUGCUCCAAGGAGUAAAGAGGGCUUCGGCUCUUGCUUUGAGAUAGGCUCGCGUCCUAUCAGCUAGUUGGUGAGGUAACGGCUCACCAAGGCGACGACGGGUAGUUGGUCUGAGAGGACGACCAGCAACACUGGAACUGAGACACGGUCCAGACACCUACGGGUGGCAGCAGUCGAGAAUCAUUCACAAUGGGGGCAACCCUGAUGGUGCAACGCCGCGUGGAGGACGAAGGCCCUAGGGUCGUAAACUCCUGUCAUAAUAGAGUAAGGCAUACAAGUUAAGACCUUGUAUGUUUGAUAGUAUA